rnacentral:rRNA from 1 species
AAAAACUAGAACUCCCGCAAACCCCAUGAUGUAACAUACCCGGUACGCUUGCCGUCGGGGCGAGGUCCCCCCCCCGGCCCCUUUAAAACGGCAGCCCCGAAACGAACCCGUGCUGCAUAGAACCUCCAUUCGUCAUGAGCUUGUAUAAUAAAUUGAGCUCAAAACUUUUCAACAGGGGCAUCUCUUGGUUCUGGCAUCUUAUGAACAACACAUCUAAAUGCGAUAAGUAAUGAGAAUUGCAGAAUUCAGUGAAUCAUCAAAUCUUUGAACGAACUUUGCGCCCGCCGGUAUUCUGGCGGGCAUGUCUGUUCGAGCGUCAUUUCAACCCCUUAAGCCGCUGUUGCUUAGUUUUGGGAGCCUACGGCCCGUGGUAUCUCCUCAAAGUCAGUGGCGGAGCCGGCCCCCCACCCCAGGCGUAGUAGUUCAUUCAAGCUCUCCCGCGGUAGGACCGGUCCCCUGCCGUAAAACACCACAGUUUCUCGCAAGGUUGACCUCGGAUCAGGUAGGGAUACCCGCUGAACUUAAGCAUAUCAAUAAGGCAAAGGAANCAUAUCAAUAAGCGGAGGAA